UACGGAGGAUCCGAGCGUUAUCCGGAUUUAUUGGGUUUAAAGGGUGCGUAGGCGGACUCAUAAGUCAGCGGUGAAAGUUUGCGGCUCAACCGUAAAAUUGCCGUUGAAACUGUGAGUCUUGAGUGUAGAUGAGGUGGGUGGAAUUCGUGGUGUAGCGGUGAAAUGCAUAGAUAUCACGAAGAACUCCAAUUGCGUAGGCAGCUCACUGGGCUACAACUGACGCUGAGGCACGAAGGUGCGGGGAUCAAACAGGAUUAGAUACCCUGGUAGUCCGCACAGUAAACGAUGAAUACUAGUUGUUUGCGAUAUACAGCAAGUGACACAGCGAAAGCGUUAAGUAUUCCACCUGGGGAGUACGUUCGCAAGAAUGAA
rnacentral:rRNA from 1 species